UGCACACCCUGGUUCACACCGCCCGGGGGUUGACUUCCUUCAGUGAGCAACGUGCUCCCGAAGUUUUAAGCGAGUCCAUGUCUGACACUGCAGUCUUUUAUGGUGCUUCCCUGGGGGUCAAUUUGUAUAAUUUUUAAAAAUCCUUCCCAAAUCUCAACUUCCUGUGGGUCUGUUUUUAUUUCCAGAUUUCCUCCCGUCCCUUCAUUCCCUCAUUUUUCUAGGACCUAAGGAGAGGAGAGAGCCCAGUAAUCUUCCUCCCACCCAACCAUUGUCAGUUGGCUCCACUGCAAAACAUAAAACCAGAGAUCUGAAGAGCAAAGCUGAAAAUCCAAGCUCCCCGCGAGGUCGCUCAGGUCACUUGUUUGUGGAUCCAGCUACUGAUACAACGCUCGGGCUGUGCUCUGUGCAACCCAGAACUGAUAGGUCCCGUCCCCAGAGGCACCCCAUAGCCCCUCGCCUUGCCCUAGCUCCCUGAGUCCUAGGCAAAAACUCAAGCAAGAAAAUCUCCAAACUCACCAGUUAGGAAACACAAAACCUGAAACCUUUUAGAGAUGGGAAGAGGCUGCCUUCCCAUGUGAGCUCCAAGGAAAACCUACUGGGACUCUGCCCUGAAAAGAUGUGAUUCUUUUUUCUCUCCACCUAUCCAGGAACUUUCCGAAUCCACCACAGAACUGUGGGAGAAGUGGCCACGGCAGAGAGAGAAGAGUUAAAUCAAGCCCAGACCUCAGCAAUCUGUGUUCAAUUUUGAUAAAAAUCUCUCUGGCUCUCCCCACUGCCCCCCCUUCCUCCGUUCCACAGCUCAGACUCGUCUCUUUAUGUUCAGAGUUUGCAUCUUGUUUGGUGCACUGCACACGGCACUUGCAGGGAACCUGGCACCCGCCCCGACUUGGGCACGUGUGGCAGAGACUGGCAUCCCUCUGAGGCACCGUUGGACCCAGGGCCACAGUGUCCAGCCACCGCGACCGCCUCUUCCUCCAUCCUCUUCAUCCUCCUUCCCAUUACCUGCUGCCAGUCCAGAUCCUUCCUUCUCUCACCACACCAGGGUGUCACCUCCUGGGAGGUCAGGGCUGGCGCCCAGCCUGUGGCUGCAGGUGCUGGGGCCCUGAACCUGGGACCCUUUGUGGGAGAUGUUCCCUCUCCGCCUAAGGUCCCACUCCCCUGAGAUCAAGAUCUCAGCGCUGCUGCCGCCCAGCCUGCUGGCUAGAGGCCAGGCCCACAAGUGAGAGCAGGACACUUGGGAAAGACUUCUGUCCACCCCAAGAAGGCGCAGGCUGCAGAGAGAAAAGCCACUAACCGGGACAUGGUAAGCUUGGGGCCCCCAACUGUGUUUACCCACUUGUGACACCAAAGAAGAUUUUUUUUUUAAACUUUCCAGAGGGCAUUUCCUGUGUCCAGCUGUCCCAGGACGGACAGACCGGCAUGCAAACACACGCGAUCACAAUCCUGCACACACACAGGCCCUGGGAGCCCGGCACAGGGUCCAGGUUCCUGCAAACACUUUGGAGAAACAAAACAUCCCGCCCGCCCUCCUCGGAGGUGCAGCCUCCCAGCUCGGCUCUGCAGUCUCAAGAAAGUGUGCCCUUCUGAUCGCAGCUCCUUGAGAUUUGUAAUUUUCACCCUUUCAGCCAGGACGAGGGCCCAGAAGGGGCCAGCAGAGGGGUGAGCGUCUCCCGCGCCCCUGGGAAGAAGGGGGGAGUCUUGGAGGCAGGGGUGGUGUCAGCUGGGUGACAGAGGUCAGGCACUGAGGGGUCCCCUCCCCGCCGCUGGACAAGACAGCGAGGGCCGGGGCAGCACCGCAUUAGAAGUCCCGCUCCACAGCCUAACUACUUUUCCAUUUCUUCCUUGGGAGUGUGUGCGUGUGUAUAUAUAUAAAGAGUUUAUUUUUAUUAAAUUACGUCCCACA